rnacentral:rRNA from 1 species
UACAUGCAAGUCGAGCGAACCACUUCGGUGGUGAGCGGCGAACGGGUGAGUAACACGUAGGUGAUCUGCCCAUCAGACGGGGACAACGAUUGGAAACGAUCGCUAAUACCGGAUAGGACGAAAGUUUAAAGGUGCUUCUGGCACCGCUGAUGGAUGAGCCUGCGGCGCAUUAGCUAGUUGGUAGGGUAAAGGCCUACCAAGGCGACGAUGCGUAGCCGACCUGAGAGGGUGAACGGCCACACUGGGACUGAGACACGGCCCAGACUCC